CUGAAGAAAAUAUUCUGCAUGAUGGGGAAGAAGUAAUUAAACCUAGUAGAAGUUUCCUUUGCAAGCUGUCAAGCCCUGAUGUUCCCCCAAGCCUUCUGGACCCUGUGGGUGAUCCCUGCAAAAUAUUUCUCUCAACCACUUCCAGGCUUCUCUCAGAGGCAGCGCUUAUGAAGAUAGCUAUCUCUACCUUACACUUGUGAUUCCCUUUUGCAACAUAAUGUCUGGUUGGAAAAGCAAUGGAAAAUGAAAGAAGAUAAUCCGUGAUUCAUUGGCACCAGUGUUUCUAUUCUGGAUCUUUCCCAUGCUGUGAGGCAAAUUACAUCAAGAUAAAGGUGACAAGCUGUGACGGAUGGCCUGACAAGGUCCCAUCAUCUAGCUCUGCGCUGCCCCGGAAAUGAUCGUGGCAUGGCCUGCCUGGAGCCAUACAGGCCCAGCAGCCCCGUAAGCUCCAAGUGUGGGCUCCAAGUGCAAGCACCAGGCCUACACACACAACUCAGUGUCCUCUGGACCGCAGCUGGGAACAGAGGCUAAGCUAGCUAAAUGGGGCAGAGACUGACUUGGACUAAGAAUUAAUGGUACAAAAUUACUGGACCAUGGCCCUACUUCUGGGCUUGCUGAAGACACAGGACUUCCUCAACAAUGGGACAAAUAGAGAAGAGACACUGGGACCAUGGGGGGCAGUCUUUUAUUU